CCCCCUGGGACUCGCAUGCCCUAUCCAACACCCCCAUUCCCUGCCCCCUGGCUGCCCUCGAGACCCUCUGGCCCAUAUCCAACCCCCCUGGCCUGGCCCCCUUACCAUGCCACUGCUCAGAACAGAGUCCCCAGGAAAUCCCACCCCCUGGACAUCCCCUUGACCAAUGACGUGAUGGCACUUACGGGGCGGGCACAGAGAGCGUCAGCCAAGCUGGAGCGCAGCGGUGGAAAAGUGCUAUGACUGACGAUUACAAUGGUGGUAACUGGCUCAGUGGAUCUGACUGUGAAACUGGACUGCAUAUUUGAAAGUCAUGACUCUGAACCUGUGGGUCUCCUUUGGUGGACUGUAGCAACCAGUUGAAAGAGAGCUGCCUCCGGAUGCCCACUUGACCAUGACUGAGUCUACUUGGAUAGACUGAACUAAAUCCAUUGGGACUGGGCCUCUAGGGUAAGGAACAAGAGCGAGGAUAAGAAUACAAGUAAGGGUGGAGAGGAGGACAGCAAGCCAGAAGGUAAAUACAUAUACCCUAUUAUUUAUAAAUAUAUAAUUAUUUUUAACACACUAAAAAGAUUCCGCAAAGUAAUGCCAGAAAUGCUUGGAAGCAUCAAACAAUUUAUGCUGUAGUGUG